GACAGGGGUCUCGAGCGUUAAUCGGAAUUACUGGGCUUAAAGGGCUCGUAGGUGGCCAACUAAGUCAGACGUGAAAUCCCUCGGCUUAACCGGGGAACUGCGUCUGAUACUGGAUGGCUUGAGUUCGGGAGAGGGAUGCGGAAUUCCAGGUGUAGCGGUGAAAUGCGUAGAUAUCUGGAGGAACACCGGUGGCGAAGGCGGCAUCCUGGACCGACACUGACGCUGAGGAGCGAAAGCCAGGGGAGCAAACGGG
rnacentral:rRNA from 1 species